rnacentral:lncRNA from 1 species
UAUAUAUAUAUAUAUAGGCUAGGGCUACUAUUCUAUUAAUAGGAUUGGAGCACUUGUCCUAUCAACUUGUUCUUGAAGAUAGAGAUUCCGAAUCGAUGAUCGGAGCCGUUGAAGUUGAUCUAGAGUAUUUGAAAUAUCUAGAAACUAAAUUUCAUAAAUUUUAAAAAUUAUUUACAUUAUGAUCAUAGUGUCGUAAAAUCGAUAAUUUUAGACGGCCUAUAUGAGCUGUUUGCUUGUUUAACAGUGUAGAACAAUCCAAAUUGCUUGAAUUUUUGAUAGAAAAUUUUUUAUACUAUUUAGAUAAUGUUUGAUAACUCUGAUUAUGAAUUGAGAAAGUCUAACCUUUAUUUUAAGAAGGUUAUUCAUUUAUGACCGUUCAUUUUUCAACUUUUAAGAUG